AGAGUGUGCAACCUGUGUGAAAUAUGAUUGCUCAUUUGGAACAUAACCAGAAAGUAAUGGCAAAGUCGUGUCUCAUUUAAAAGAUUGUGGUUUCUUUAAUGAUGAGGCCAGGAGCCCAUGAAGACUACUGAAACACACUAAUACCCACAGGCCUCUGUUUGCAUAGGUCUCCAGGAGUUCAUUCCAAGAUUCCCUGAAGGAAAAG